rnacentral:rRNA from 1 species
AGAGUUUGAUCCUGGCUCAGAUUGAACGCUGGCGGCAUGCUUAAUACAUGCAAGUCGAACGGUAACAUGCCCUCCGGGGUGAUGACGAGUGGCGGACGGGUGAGUAACGCAUAGGAAUCUACCUAGUAGUGGGGGACAACUUGGGGAAACUCAAGCUAAUACCGCAUACAUCCUACGGGAAAAAGAGGGCCUCUUCUUGAAAGCUCUUGCUAUUAGAUGAGCCUAUGUCAGAUUAGCUUGUUGGUGGGGUAACGGCCUACCAAGGCGACGAUCUGUAGCUGGUCUGAGAGGAUGAUCAGCCACACUGGGACUGAGACACGGCCCAGACUCCUACGGGAGGCAGCAGUAGGGAAUAUUGGACAAUGGGCGCAAGCCUGAUCCAGCAAUGCCGCGUGUGUGAAGAAGGCCUGCGGGUUGUAAAGCACUUUCAAUUAGGAAGAAAAGCUCAAGGUUAAUAACCUUGAGUCUUGACAUUAUCAAUAGAAGAAGCACCGGCUAACUCUGUGCCAGCAGCCCCGGUAAUACCGAGGGU